rnacentral:rRNA from 1 species
UUGUGUCUUCGAGUCGUUGAUUUCACACUGCCGAGAAAAGCCUCUAGAUAGAAAAUAGGUGCCCGUACCGCAAACCGACACAGGUAGUCAAGAUGAGAAUUCUAAGGUGAGCGAGCGAACUCUCGUUAAGGAACUCGGCAAAAUGACCCCGUAACUUCGGGAGAAGGGGUGCUCUUUAGGGUUAACGCCCAGAAGAGCCGCAGUGAAUAGGCCCAAGCGACUGUUUAUCAAAAACACAGGUCUCUGCUAAACCGUAAGGUGAUGUAUAGGGGCUGACGCCUGCCCGGUGCUGGAAGGUUAAGAGGAGUGGUUAGCUUCUGCGAAGCUACGAAUCGAAGCCCCAGUAAACGGCGGCCGUAACUAUAACGGUCCUAAGGUAGCGAAAUUCCUUGUCGGGUAAGUUCCGACCCGCACGAAAGGCGUAACGAUUUGGGCACUGUCUCAACGAGAGACUCGGUGAAAUCAUAGUACCUGUGAAGAUGCAGGUUACCCGCGACAGGACGGAAAGACCCCGUGGAGCUUUACUGUAGCCUGAUAUUGAAAUUCGGCACAGCUUGUACAGGAUAGGUAGGAGCCUUUGAAACGUGAGCGCUAGCUUACGUGGAGGCGCUGGUGGGAUACUACCCUAGCUGUGUUGGCUUUCUAACCCGCACCACUUAUCGUGGUGGGAGACAGUGUCAGGCGGGCAGUUUGACUGGGGCGGUCGCCUCCUAAAAGGUAACGGAGGCGCUCAAAGGUUCCCUCAGAAUGGUUGGAAAUCAUUCAUAGAGUGUAAAGGCAUAAGGGAGCUUGACUGCGAGACCUACAAGUCGAGCAGGGUCGAAAGACGGACUUAGUGAUCCGGUGGUUCCGCAUGGAAGGGCCAUCGCUCAACGGAUAAAAGCUACCCCGGGGAUAACAGGCUUAUCUCCCCCAAGAGUUCACAUCGACGGGGAGGUUUGGCACCUCGAUGUCGGCUCAUCGCAUCCUGGGGCUGUAGUCGGUCCCAAGGGUUGGGCUGUUCGCCCAUUAAAGCGGUACGCGAGCUGGGUUCAGAACGUCGUGAGACAGUUCGGUCCCUAUCCGUCGUGGGCGUAGGAAAUUUGAGAGGAGCUGUCCUUAGUACGAGAGGACCGGGAUGGACAUACCUCUGGUGUACCAGUUGUCGUGCCAACGGCAUAGCUGGGUAGCUAUGUGUGGACGGGAUAAGUGCUGAAAGCAUCUAAGCAUGAAGCCCCCCUCAAGAUGAGAUUUCCCAACUUCGGUUAUAAGAUCCCUCAAAGAUGAUGAGGUUAAUAGGUUCGAGGUGGAAGCAUGGUGACAUGUGGAGCUGACGAAUACUAAUCGAUCGAAGAC